rnacentral:snRNA from 1 species
GGAUGUGAGAUCUGACUGUGACAUCUGCGAUCAACCCCAUUGAUCGCCAAGGUUGGUUGAUUCGGUUGAUCUAGCUGGCUAGGCUGGGGUCCUCUUCGUCCCUCAGAGCUCCACAUCCCUCCAGAAGCUGCUCUCUCAGUCGAAGAGGACGACCUUCCUCGAAAAGAGAAGGACUAGUCUCCGCUCUCGAGCUAGAACCUCCAAAGACGCUCUCAAGAAAGAUUUUUGUGUCUACAAUCUGGGGUGAUGUCCGUCUGUAAUAUUCUUUUCUUUUUAAAUUAUUUUUAUUAUUAAAUGAUUGUAUUAUUUU